UACGUAGGGGGCGAGCGUUGUUCGGAUUUACUGGGCGUAAAGGGUGCGUAGGCGGCCCGUUUUGUCAGGCGUGAAAGCCCUGGGCUCAACCUGGGAACUGCGCUUGGGACGGAUGGGCUUGAGAUCGGGAGAGGAGAGUGGAAUUCCCAGUGUAGAGGUGAAAUUCGUAGAUAUUGGGAAGAACACCGGUGGCGAAGGCAGCCCCCUGGGUUAGCACUGACGCUCAGGCACGAAAGCGUGGGGAGCAAACAGG
rnacentral:rRNA from 1 species